UACAUUUUUGUUUAUAAGUUACUUAGUUGGUAGCAUUCUCUUAUAGCAGCACAAAUGGACUAAGACAGGCAGCAUUAUUCUGAAUACUUUGAAUGUCUUCAAACUUUAGAUGUGUGAAUUUAUCUUAAAGAAAGAAUCCAGGACAGAGCUACGUGCACAAAGAUGUUUGCUUUAGCACCGGUUGAAGGCUGUUCUCACAACAAAACAAGAAAAAUGAUUAAGAAUGCAAGACAAAAAGGAGGAGUAACAACGAUCAGAUCCCAAAGGGCCAAGGGCUCAAAGUAGGGCUUCCAGAAGGAACAGUGCUCCAGGCUGGGCAUUGAAGGAUGGACAGAAUUUCAACUGGGGGUAAGGUGUGGCCUAAUACAGGACGUGGUGGUCACUUAAGGAUGAGGGGGAUGAAGAGCACUGAAGGAGAAGCUGCAGUUAUAAAAAGGCUCUCAGUGAUGUAAAAGCGGCUUUGAACUGGGAAGGGAAGGGGCAGAUCCACCCCUGGGUGGGCCAUUGUUCCUCCCAAUGCUGACU